rnacentral:rRNA from 2 species
AAUCCAUAGGUUAAUGAGGCGAACCGGGGGAACUGAAACAUCUAAGUACCCCGAGGAAAAGAAAUCAACCGAGAUUCCCCCAGUAGCGGCGAGCGAACGGGGAGGAGCCCAGAGCCUGAAUCAGCAUGUGUGUUAGUGGAAGCGUCUGGAAAGGCGCGCGAUACAGGGUGACAGCCCCGUACACAAAAGCGCAUGUGCUGUGAGCUCGAUGAGUAGGGCGGGACACGUGGUAUCCUGUCUGAAUAUGGGGGGACCAUCCUCCAAGGCUAAAUACUCCUGACUGACCGAUAGUGAACCAGUACCGUGAGGGAAAGGCGAAAAGAACCCCGGCGAGGGGAGUGAAAAAGAACCUGAAACCGUGUACGUACAAGCAGUGGGAGCACAGGUUUACCUGUGUGACUGCGUACCUUUUGUAUAAUGGGUCAGCGACUUAUAUUCUGUAGCAAGGUUAACCGAAUAGGGGAGCCGGAGGGAAACCGAGUCUUAAUUGGGCGUUAAGUUGCAGGGUAUAGACCCGAAACCCGGUGAUCUAGCCAUGGGCAGGUUGAAGGUUGGGUAACACUAACUGGAGGACCGAACCGACUAAUGUUGAAAAAUUAGCGGAUGACCUGUGGCUGGGGGUGAAAGGCCAAUCAAACCGGGAGAUAGCUGGUUCUCCCCGAAAGCUAUUUAGGUAGCGCCUCGUGAAUUCAUCUCCGGGGGUAGAGCACUGUUUCGGCUAGGGGGCCAUCCCGGCUUACCAACCCGAUGCAAACUGCGAAUACCGGAGAAUGUUAUCACGGGAGACACACGGCGGGUGCUAACGUCCGUCGUGAAGAGGGAAACAACCCAGACCGCCAGCUAAGGUCCCAAAGUCAUGGUUAAGUGGGAAACGAUGUGGGAAGGCCCAGACAGCCAGGAUGUUGGCUUAGAAGCAGCCAUCAUUUAAAGAAAGCGUAAUAGCUCACUGGUCGAGUCGGCCUGCGCGGAAGAUGUAACGGGGCUAAACCAUGCACCGAAGCUGCGGCAGCGACACUGUGUGUUGUUGGGUAGGGGAGCGUUCUGUAAGCCUGCGAAGGUGGCCUGUGAGGGUUGCUGGAGGUAUCAGAAGUGCGAAUGCUGACAUAAGUAACGAUAAAGCGGGUGAAAAGCCCGCUCGCCGGAAGACCAAGGGUUCCUGUCCAACGUUAAUCGGGGCAGGGUGAGUCGACCCCUAAGGCGAGGCCGAAAGGCGUAGUCGAUGGGAAACGGGUUAAUAUUCCCGUACUUGGUGUUACUGCGAAGGGGGGACGGAGAAGGCUAUGUUGGCCGGGCGACGGUUGUCCCGGUUUAAGCGUGUAGGUGUGUGUUCCAGGUAAAUCCGGUUCACUUUAACACUGAGGCGUGACGACGAGGCACUACGGUGCUGAAGCAACAAAUGCCCUGCUUCCAGGAAAAGCCUCUAAGCAUCAGGUAACAUCAAAUCGUACCCCAAACCGACACAGGUGGUCAGGUAGAGAAUACCAAGGCGCUUGAGAGAACUCGGGUGAAGGAACUAGGCAAAAUGGUGCCGUAACUUCGGGAGAAGGCACGCUGACACGUAGGUGAAGUGAUUUACUCAUGGAGCUGAAGUCAGUCGAAGAUACCAGCUGGCUGCAACUGUUUAUUAAAAACACAGCACUGUGCAAACACGAAAGUGGACGUAUACGGUGUGACGCCUGCCCGGUGCCGGAAGGUUAAUUGAUGGGGUCAGCGCAAGCGAAGCUCCUGAUCGAAGCCCCGGUAAACGGCGGCCGUAACUAUAACGGUCCUAAGGUAGCGAAAUUCCUUGUCGGGUAAGUUCCGACCUGCACGAAUGGCGUAAUGAUGGCCAGGCUGUCUCCACCCGAGACUCAGUGAAAUUGAACUCGCUGUGAAGAUGCAGUGUACCCGCGGCAAGACGGAAAGACCCCGUGAACCUUUACUAUAGCUUGACACUGAACAUUGAGCCUUGAUGUGUAGGAUAGGUGGGAGGCUUUGAAGUGUGGACGCCAGUCUGCAUGGAGCCGACCUUGAAAUACCACCCUUUAAUGUUUGAUGUUCUAACGUGGACCCGUUACCCGGGUUGCGGACAGUGUCUGGUGGGUAGUUUGACUGGGGCGGUCUCCUCCUAAAGAGUAACGGAGGAGCACGAAGGUUGGCUAAUCCUGGUCGGACAUCAGGAGGUUAGUGCAAUGGCAUAAGCCAGCUUGACUGCGAGCGUGACGGCGCGAGCAGGUGCGAAAGCAGGUCAUAGUGAUCCGGUGGUUCUGAAUGGAAGGGCCAUCGCUCAACGGAUAAAAGGUACUCCGGGGAUAACAGGCUGAUACCGCCCAAGAGUUCAUAUCGACGGCGGUGUUUGGCACCUCGAUGUCGGCUCAUCACAUCCUGGGGCUGAAGUAGGUCCCAAGGGUAUGGCUGUUCGCCAUUUAAAGUGGUACGCGAGCUGGGUUUAGAACGUCGUGAGACAGUUCGGUCCCUAUCUGCCGUGGGCGCUGGAGAACUGAGGGGGGCUGCUCCUAGUACGAGAGGACCGGAGUGGACGCAUCACUGGUGUUCGGGUUGUCAUGCCAAUGGCACUGCCCGGUAGCUAAAUGCGGAAGAGAUAAGUGCUGAAAGCAUCUAAGCACGAAACUUGCCCCGAGAUGAGUUCUCCCUGAGACUUAAAGUCUCCUGAAGGAACGUUGAAGACGACGACGUUGAUAGGCCGGGUGUGUAAGCGCAGCGAUGCGUUGAGCUAACCGGUACUAAUGAACCGUGAGGCUUAACCUUACAACGCCGAAG